rnacentral:rRNA from 1 species
ACACUCCUACGGGAGGCAGCAGUGGGGAAUAUUGCACAAUGGGCGCAAGCCUGAUGCAGCCAUGCCGCGUGUAUGAAGAAGGCCUUCGGGUUGUAAAGUACUUUCAGCGGGGAGGAAGGCAAUACGGUUAAUAACCGUGUUGAUUGACGUUAUCCGCAGAAGAAGCACCGGCUAACUCCGUGCCAGCAGCCGCGGUAAUACGGAGGGUGCAAGCGUUAAUCGGAAUUACUGGGCGUAAAGCGCACGCAGGCGGUCUGUCAAGUCGGAUGUGAAAUCCCCGGGCUCAACCUGGGAACUGCAUUCGAAACUGGCAGGCUUGAGUCUUGUAGAGGGGGGUAGAAUUCCAGGUGUAGCGGUGAAAUGCGUAGAGAUCUGGAGGAAUACCGGUGGCGAAGGCGGCCCCCUGGACAAAGACUGACGCUCAGGUGCGAAAGCGUGGGGAGCAAACAGGAUUAGAAACCCUAGUAGUCC